rnacentral:rRNA from 1 species
UACGAAGGGUCCAAGCGUUGUUCGGAAUUACUGGGCGUAAAGCGCGCGUAGGCGGGCUUGUAAGUUGAUUGUGAAAGCCCUGGGCUCAACCUGGGAAUGGCAGUCAAAACUGCAAGUCUUGAAUGUCUGAGAGGAUGGCGGAAUUCCCGGUGUAGUAGUGAAAUACGUAGAUAUCGGGAAGAACACCUGAGGCGAAGGCGGCUAUCUGGCGGUACAUUGACGCUGAGGCGCGAAAGCGUGGGGAGCAAAC